ensembl:snoRNA
UCUGAGGAUACUUCCAACAUUCCUAGGGAAUAUACACAUGUUAUUUCUGGCAUGCUAAUGUCCUCAGAGAAAAUUUGCCAGUCUUGAUUCACUAAUACAGGCAUUCAGUACCCAUGUCAAUGUUCGGGUCAGAAACAUGU